AACGAACGCUGGCGGCAGGCCUAACACAUGCAAGUCGAGCGAGGACUUCGGUCCUAGCGGCGGACGGGUGAGUAACGCGUGGGAACGUGCCCUUUGCUUCGGAAUAGCCCUGGGAAACGGGGAGUAAUACCGGAUGAGCCCUUUGGGGGAAAGAUUUAUCGGCGAAGGAUCGGCCCGCGUUGCAUUAGGUAGUUGGUUGGGUAAUGGCCUACCAAGCCGACGAUCCAUAGCUGGUUUGAGAGGAUGAUCAGCCACACUGGGACUGAGACACGGCCCAGACUCCUACGGGAGGCAGCAGUGGGGAAUCUUAGACAAUGGGGGAAACCCUGAUCUAGCCAUGCCGCGUGAGCGAUGAAGGCCUUAGGGUUGUAAAGCUCUUUCAGCUGGGAAGAUAAUGACGGUACCAGCAGAAGAAGCCCCGGCUAACUCCGUG
rnacentral:rRNA from 1 species